rnacentral:rRNA from 1 species
AGAGUUUGAUCCUGGCUCAGGACGAACGCUGGCGGCGUGGAUUAGGCAUGCAAGUCGAACGCGAAAUAAGUUCUUCGGAAUUUAGAGUAGAGUGGCGAACGGGUGAGUAACGCGUGGGAAUUUACCUUUAAAUGGGGGAUAGCCCAGGGAAACCUGGAUUAAUACCGCAUGUGAUGCUUCGGCAUUAAAGAUGGCCUCUAUUUAUAAGCUAUCGUUUAAAGAUAAGCCUGCGUCCUAUUAGUUAGUUGGUUAGGUAAUGGCUGACCAAGGCGAUGAUAGGUAGGCGGCCUUAACGGGUGGUCGCCCACACUGGGAUUGAGAUACGGCCCAGACUCCUACGGGAGGCAGCAGUCGAGAAUAGUCUACAAUGGACGAAAGUCUGAUAGUGCGACGCCGCGUGGAUGAAGAAGCAUUUCGGUGUGUAAAAUCCUUUUUAUGUGAGCAAUGAUUUGUAUGUGAAUAAUGUGCAGAUUGAGAUAUUAGCAUAAGAAUAAGCUCCGGCUAACUCCGUGCCAGCAGCCGCGGUAAUACGGGGGGAGCAAGCGUUGUCCGGAAUCACUAGGCGUAAAGGGUAAGUAGGCGGAACUGCCAGUCAGAUGUUAAAUGCAUCAGCUCAACUGAUGUCCAGCAUUUGAUACUGCAUUUCUAGAGUAAGGUGGAGGAAGAUGGAAUUCCUGGUGUAGCGGUGGAAUGCGCAGAUAUCAGGAAGAACACCAGUGGCGAAGGCGAUCUUCCAUACCAUUACUGACGCUCAAUUACGAAGGUGUGGGUAUCGAACAGGAUUAGAUACCCUGGUAGUCCACACAGUAAACGAUAUGCACUAGGUGUUGGGGUUUUAAAGAAUUUCAGUGCCGCAGUUAACGCGUUAAGUGCAUCGCCUGGGGAGUACGAUCGCAAGGUUUAAACUCAAAGGAAUUGACGGGGGCCCGCACAAGCGGUGGAGCAUGUGGUUUAAUUCGAUGCAACGCGACGAACCUUACCUGGACUUGACAUCCUUGGGAAGCUUAAGAGAUUAGGCUGUGCCUUUCGGGGAACCAAGAGACAGGUGCUGCAUGGCUGUCGUCAGCUCGUGUCGUGAGAUGUUGGGUUAAGUCCCGCAACGAGCGCAACCCCUAUCUUUAGUUACCAGCACGUAAUGGUGGGGACUCUAGAGAGACUGCCAGGGUGAUAACCUGGAGGAAGGUGGGGACGACGUCAAGUCAUCAUGGUCCUUAUGUCCAGGGCUACACACGUGCUACAAUGGUCGGUACAGAGGGCAGCGAAACAGUGAUGUGGAGCAAAUCCCAGAAAGCCGAUCUCAGUUCGGAUUGGAGUCUGCAACUCGACUCCAUGAAGUUGGAAUCGCUAGUAAUCGCGUAC